GUAGAGACUGUAGUUGAGACUGUAGUCGAGAUUGUAGUAGAGACGGCAGUAGAAACUGUAGUAGAGACUACAGUAGAGACUGCAGUAGAGACUGUAAUAGAGACUGUAGUAGAGUAUGCAGUAGAGACUGUAGUAGUGCCUGUAGUAGAGACUGCAGUACAGACUGUAGUAGAGACUGUAGUAGAGCCUACUGUAGAGACUGUAGUAGAGACUACUGUAGAGACUGUAGUAGAGACUGUAGUAGAGACUGUGGUAGGGACUGUAGUAGAGCCUACUGUAGAGACUGUAGCAGAGACUGUAGCAGAGACUGUAGUAGAGACUGCAGUAGAGACUUCAUUAGAGACUGUAGUAGAGACUGUAGUAGAGCCUGUAGUAGAGACUUCAGUAGAGACUUCAGUAGAGACUUCAGUAGAGACUGCAGUAGAGACUGUAAUAGAGACUGUAGUAGAGACUACUGUAGAGACUGUAGUAGAGACUGCAGUAGAGACUGUAGUAGAGCCUGUAGUAGA
rnacentral:lncRNA from 1 species